UACGUAGGGAGCAAGCGUUGUCCGGAAUCAUUGGGCGUAAAGCGCGCGUAGGUGGCCUCAUAAGUCCGCUGUGAAAGUCAAAGGCUCAACCUUUGAAAGCCGGUGGAUACUGUGAGGCUAGAGUACGGAAGAGGCGAGUGGAAUUCCUGGUGUAGCGGUGGAAUGCGCAGAUAUCGUAAGGAAGGCCGGUGGCGAAAGCGAGCCUCUGGACAGUUACUGACGCUGAUGCACGAAGGCCAGGGGAGCAAACGGG
rnacentral:rRNA from 1 species